rnacentral:rRNA from 1 species
UACGUAGGGUGCGAGCGUUAAUCGGAAUUACUGGGCGUAAAGCGUGCGCAGGCGGUUUUGUAAGCCAGAUGUGAAAGCCCCGGGCUCAACCUGGGAAUGGCAUUUGGGACUGCAAGGCUGGAGUUUGGCAGAGGAGACUGGAAUUCCUGGUGUAGCAGUGAAAUGCGUAGAUAUCAGGAGGAACACCGGUGGCGAAGGCGGUUCUCUGGGCAUGUUCUGACGCUGAGGAGCGAAAGUGUGGGGAGCGAACAGG